CGUUGAUCAAAUCUAAUCAAACGACUCAGAUUAAAUCUCCAUAUCCUCUCUUAUAAUUAACACAACACUAAAACCUUAAUAAAAAUGGACUCUCUCUCUAAAACAGAGUCGCUCAUUCCCUCUUCAAUCUUCCAUCUCUUCUUUUUCCACGUCGCCGCUAUCCUCAAAAAGUAGCACCGGCAGCAAGCCCAAAAACCAGCACCAGCGGCUAGCCCAACGACCAGUUGCAGCCACCACCGACAACUCCACACCGAAGAACACCAUCCAACUAAUGCCACCCUCACCAAAAAUACCCCUUCCGCCGCAACCCCUCUAUAUUUUUUCUCUCCCUCAUCUCCACAACAACAUUACCGUCGCCCAUCUUCUUUGAAGAACUGAUCAAACACCGACAAACCUCACCAGCUGCUCUGACGCCGCGACUGUUCCUUCAUUCAGUCAGAAACCAACUACACCGCUGACCAAUUUGUCAUAAAAAAGUUGGAGGUGAAGAAGUGUCGCUUAAGAUGGAAAUGGACAGUAAAACGCUUGUCAAUUAGUUUUUAGUUAUUUACGAGCUUUCUAUUUCAUUCACUUAUUUUGUAAUUAACGGUAUAUGUAAUAAUGAGAAACGGUGACUGCAUAUGGGGGGCGGGGAUUGUGUGAAUAAAUGUUUAUGUGAAUUAUGUUAUCACUUAGGCAAAUACUAAUCUAGGAUCAAUAAUACUCUUAUGUUGUCAAAAUUAUGUUAUCACUUAGGCAAAUACUAAUCUAGGAUCAAUAAUAAUAUUAUGUUGUCACUUAGAAAUUAUGUUUUUUUGGAAUUAUUAAUUGACUUUCAAGAACUUCAUUUCCGUA